GGCUAGAUGGCCGAGCGGUCUAAGGCGCCACGUUAAGGUAAACCCUUAAUUCGAGAAAUCCGUGGUCCGAAAGGGCGUGAGUUCGAAUCUCACUCUAGUCA
rfam:Neurospora tetrasperma FGSC 2509 unplaced genomic scaffold NETTE2scaffold_1, whole genome shotgun sequence.